GAUGAACGCUAGGGGCAGGCCUAAUACAUGCAAGUCGAACGAUAGUGAGAAGCUUGCUUCUCACGAAAGUGGCGCACGGGUGCGUAACGCGUAUGCAACCUACCUUAAUCAGGGGGAUAGCCCGAAGAAAUUCGGAUUAACACCGCAUAAAAUCACAGUAUAGCAUUAUACAAUGAUCAAAGAUUUAUAGGAUUAAGAUGGGCAUGCGUGACAUUAGUUAGUUGGCGGGGUAACGGCCCACCAAGACCACGAUGUAUAGGGGAUCUGAGAGGAUGACCCCCCACACUGGUACUGAGACACGGACCAGACUCCUACGGGAGGCAGCAGUAAGGAAUAUUGGUCAAUGGAGGCAACUCUGAACCAGCCAUGCCGCGUGCAGGAAGACAGCCCUCUGGGUCGUAAACUGCUUUUAUUCGGGAAUAAACCUAUCUACGUGUAGAUAGCUGAAUGUACCGAAGGAAUAAGGAUCGGCUAACUCCGUGCCAGCAGCCGCAGUAA
rnacentral:rRNA from 1 species